UUUUACAUAAAAAUUUUUUUUGGGUAGAAAUCUAAUUAUUGCAUAGCUCCUACAGUUCUUGAUGAAUUUUAACAGCCGGACCCUACAAUUGCAGCUUUAUAUUUCUCUCCCAGACAAAGAAGAAUUUAAAAAAAACACUCUGCUACAGAAUAAAUAAUAGAAAUAUCUUGGUUU